AAAUACAAUACCCUUUCAUUUUAGAACCUUACGAGCUGCAUUUCUCAAAUCUUAAAAGUGCCUUUUCGAAAAUUAUCUUGUUUUAUUUCGCGGAAACGAUUCGUAAAAAAGUUUUCCCUUUCCGGCAACUAUUUGAAAGCUUUCCAGAUAAUCAAUUAUUGUCGGUUUACUACAAUUAAUUACGGCCAGUUGAACUUUUAUGUGGCUCGUCGUCCCGACGAUACAUUUGAUGGAAGAUUUAUCGUCAGCCUCUGACUUUUGCGAAGCGUCCGGACUUGGCCAAGGAUAGUUUAACAUUCUUUCCCUAAUCACAAGUCUGCUCUGGAAUUCCUUCGGCUUCGAGGAAGCCUCGGUUGGUAGUAAUACUCGUUUUCUUCGCACACGAGUGAUAGGAGUGGUACUUGAAGUUGAACCAGUCGGCCUCGACGAUUUCUUCCAUCACAAUGUCAAUACGGAAAUUUAUCGUUACGCAUGCUGCCACAAAACCUAACACUUCAUCCGACCACCCAAAUCACAAUUAAAAAUAAAAAAAUUACACAAACUUAGUAAAAAGAAAUACUGUUUUGCACUGAAAAUCUUCUAAUUUUUGUAAUGCAAAAACUGACGGACAGGAGUUUACAACCCCAUCGAGUUCGCGGCUUUAUCGAAACUGUUGGUACGAAUAUGAAGAUAUUUUCGGCGCCGGCGUUUGGAACUUUCGGUCCAAACCACCCUCGUUUUCCCACGCACUAUGUAUUCAACGGGGUACAAAAGAUGUGGAUCGAGAAAUAAAAAAAAAGGAUUG